rfam:Fukomys damarensis contig155836, whole genome shotgun sequence.
GCAAAGGCCCUAGGUUCAAUCCCCAGGGCCACACACACACACAAAAAAAAAAAC